GCUGCCUUUCAGGGACAUCCAAUAAAAUCGGAACGAUACAUAGAAGAUUAGCAUGGCCUCUGUGCAAGGAUGACAUGCACAAAUCGAGAAAUGGUCCCAAGUUGG